rnacentral:rRNA from 1 species
GAUGAACGCUGGCGGCGUGCCUAAUACAUGCAAGUCGAGCGAACAGACGAGGAGCUUGCUCCUCUGACGUUAGCGGCGGACGGGUGAGUAACACGUGGAUAACCUACCUAUAAGACUGGGAUAACUUCGGGAAACCGGAGCUAAUACCGGAUAAUAUAUUGAACCGCAUGGUUCAAUAGUGAAAGACGGUUUUGCUGUCACUUAUAGAUGUAUCCGCGCCGCAUUAGCUAGUUGGUAAGGUAACGGCUUACCAAGGCGACGAUGCGUAGCCGACCUGAGAGGGUGAUCGGCCACACUGGAACUGAGACACGGUCCAGACUCCUACGGAAGGAAGCAGUAGGGAAUCUUCCGCAAUGGGCGAAAGCCUGACGGAGCAACGCCGCGUGAGUGAUGAAGGUCUUCGGAUCGUAAAACUCUGUUAUUAGGCAAGAAGAAAUGUGUAAGUAACUAUGCACGUCUUGACGGUACCUAAUCAGAAAGCCACGGCUAACUACGUG